AGCAAAUGUCAUGGGUUCUGAUCGGUUACGACUUCAUCCGUACGUCGUCGCCGGAAAAGUAAGUACGUACGUGCUCGAUCAAAAUAUCCCAUAUGUAUGCGUUUACCCUGGUCCGGUUUUCCUAGGGAUAAAAAAUACUAAUAGUACAGUGUAGAUAUCUUCAAGCUGUGAAAUGGGCAGACCCAGUAAGUUGCACGUACACACAUGCUUUGGACUUAACUUUACCUUUCUUUCGUUUCUUUGCCAUCGGUUACAACUGUUGAAUGGAGUGAGGUUCAGGAUACCGGCGGGCAGGCGACCAGAAUGCACGUAUAUACUGUAUCACUCUCUGACUCCCUGUUGAUCUUCUGUGCAAAGACCUGUAUAUAUUACUCUGAACCUCGUUCCUUAACUUCGUUCUUUCUGAAUCUUAUCAAACAGGCAAAGCAAAAUGCCCAUGCAUGGAGAAGAUCCUAGCGGGUUGUCGAUCGAGAUCGCGCGCCUGUGAGUGGCUCACGGGAUGCGCAUCGGCCGCGUGAUCUUGCCCCUGACAGAGCACCAUCGCCUAACCUCAUCGCCGGCGGGACGGCGGGCACUUUCCUUGGAUCUUUUGUAGCUUCCUCUCCUUUUUUCCGUGCAGGUGGAUGAUGUGAUGCACGUUACGUCAUUCGUUCGUAUACUUCUCUCUAGUAUCAGAAGCUUCGUUAGAGCGUACGUCCCGGAGCCCGCCGGGCCGCCGCGCCGAUCAGGGCAACAGCAAGCGGUAAUAAGCGGUCCUCUAUUGAUGGUGCAUGCAUGCAGAUAUAUAGACCCUGCAAAUUGACAGUUCGUGCCCUGAAUUCGCAACCGAUGAACACGCAUCCAUACUCUUCGGAAUGUUGCUCCAGAGUAAUCGAGCUUGUCCCAGACGCAUGCAGCAUGCACCAGCUGAUUAGCUCCUGCCUGGAGGAGUUCCACACAAAAUUCGAGCAAAACUUGAAAAAUAUUACUCCCUCCGAUCCAUAUUACUCGUCAAAAUAUUACAUAUAUCUGGACGUUUUUUAAACAUAGAUACGUUCAUAUAGCAAAUUUGAGACAAGUAUAAUAUGGAUCGGAGGAAGUAAUAAACGACAAGUACAUUUUCGACCUGAAGUUAUACUUAUGCUUCAUCGAUCUUUGGCCAGCUUUCCAACACAUGUAAAUUUCCUAUCUAUUAAUCGGACUACAUUAUAAAA